AUUGAACGCUGGCGGCAGGCCUAACACAUGCAAGUCGAACGAGUGGCGGACGGGUGAGUAAUGUCUGGGAAACUGCCUGAUGGAGGGGGAUAACUACUGGAAACGGUAGCUAAUACCGCAUACCAUCGGAUGUGCCCAGAUGGGAUUAGCUAGUAGGUGGGGUAAUGGCUCACCUAGGCGACGAUCCCUAGCUGGUCUGAGAGGAUGAUCAGGUAGACGGGAACUGAGGAACGGUCCAGACUCCUAGGGGAGGCAGCAGUGGGGAAGAUUGGACAAUGGGCGAAAGGCUGAUGCAGCCAUGCAGCGGGUAUGAAGAAGGCCUUCGGGUUGUAAAGCACUUUAAGUGGGGAGGCGUUACCCACAGAAGAAGCACCGGCUAACUACGUGCCAGCAGCCGCGGUAAUAC
rnacentral:rRNA from 1 species